rnacentral:rRNA from 1 species
GACGAACGCUGGCGGCGUGCCUAAUACAUGCAAGUCGAACGAGAGCGACCGGUGCUUGCACUGGUCAAUCUAGUGGCGAACGGGUGAGUAACACGUGGGUAACCUGCCCAUCAGAGGGGGAUAACAUUCGGAAACGGAUGCUAAAACCGCAUAGGUCUUCGAACCGCAUAGUUUGAAGAGGAAAAGAGGCGCAAGCUUCUGCUGAUGGAUGGACCCGCGGUGCAUUAGCUAGUUGGUGAGGUAACGGCUCACCAAGGCCGUGAUGCAUAGCCGACCUGAGAGGGUGAUCGGCCACAUUGGGACUGAGACACGGCCCAAACUCCUACGGGAGGCAGCAGUAGGGAAUCUUCCGCAAUGGACGCAAGUCUGACGGAGCAACGCCGCGUGAGUGAAGAAGGUUUUCGGAUCGUAAAACUCUGUUGUUAGGGAAGAACAAGUGCUAGAGUAACUGUUAGCGCCUUGACGGUAUCUAACCAGAAAGCCACGGCUAACUACGUGCCAGCAGCCGCGGUAAUACGUAGGUGGCAAGCGUUGUCCGGAUUUAUUGGGCGUAAAGCGAGCGCAGGCGGUUCCUUAAGUCUGAUGUGAAAGCCCCCGGCUCAACCGGGGAGGGUCAUUGGAAACUGGGGAACUUGAGUGCAGAAGAGGAGAGUGGAAUUCCAUGUGUAGCGGUGAAAUGCGUAGAUAUAUGGAGGAACACCAGUGGCGAAGGCGACUCUCUGGUCUGUAACUGACGCUGAGGCUCGAAAGCGUGGGUAGCAAACAGG